UACAGAGGGUGCGAGCGUUAAUCGGAAUUACUGGGCGUAAAGGGCGCGUAGGUGGUUAUGUAAGAUUGUUGUGAAAUCCCUGGGCUUAACCUAGGAACUGCAACGAUGACUGUAUAGCUUGAGUAUUGUAGAGGGUAGUGGAAUUUCCGGUGUAGCGGUGAAAUGCGUAGAGAUCGGAAGGAACACCAGUGGCGAAGGCGGCUACCUGGACAAAUACUGACACUGAGGCGCGAGAGCGUGGGGAGCAAACAGG
rnacentral:rRNA from 1 species